rnacentral:rRNA from 1 species
AGAAUCAACGCUGGCGGCGUGCCUAACACAUGCAAGUCGAACGAGAAAGUGGAGCAAUCCAUGAGUAAAGUGGCGACCGGGUGAGUAACACGUGACUAACCUACCUUCGAGUGGGGGAUAACAUCGGGAAACCGAUGCUAAUACCGCAUAACAUCGCAAGAUCAAAGCAGCAAUGCGCUGGAAGAGGGGGUCGCGGCUGAUUAGCUAGUUGGCGGGUAACGGCCCACCAAGGCGAAGAUCGGUAGCCGGCCUGAGAGGGCGCACGGCCACACUGGAACUGAAACACGGUCCAGACUCCUACGGGAGGCAGCAGUGGGGAAUUUUGCGCAAUGGGGGAAACCCUGACGCAGCGACGCCGCGUGGAGGAUGAAGCCCCUUGGGUGUAAACUCCUUUCGACCAAGACGAUAAUGACGGUACUGGUGGAAGAAGCACCGGCUAACUCUGCGCCAGCAGCCGC